UACGUAGGGGGCAAGCGUUAUCCGGAUUUACUGGGUGUAAAGGGGGCGCAGACGGCGAUGCAAGCCAGGAGUGAAAGCCCGGGGCCCAACCCCGGGACUGCUCUUGGAACUGCGUGGCUGGAGUGCAGGAGGGGCAGGCGGAAUUCCUGGUGUAGCGGUGAAAUGCGUAGAUAUCAGGAGGAACACCGGUGGCGAAGGCGGCCUGCUGGACUGCAACUGACGUUGAGGCCCGAAAGCGUGGAGAGCAAACAGG
rnacentral:rRNA from 1 species